rnacentral:rRNA from 1 species
AUGGGAAUUAACCUCUCUGAUGCACCGGAUACCUUGCAUUGGAGAUUGUCCAUUUCAGGUGUAUUCUCGUUUAAGUUCAUGUAUAUAUAUUUGAUAAACACCGGUCCUACCGCAAGAUAACUCCACGUCUCGAAAGUCAAGGUGCGGCUAAAAAUUAAGGUCUUUGUGUGGUUUGUACACAAAGGAGUAAUUUUAAAGAAAGAUAACUUGGCAAAGCGUAGUUGGAAGGAUAGUAAACGGUGUUGAUUUUGUGAGCAGGACGAAUCAAUACAUCAUCUCUAUCUCCAUUGCCCACUAGCUAAGUUAUUAUGGCACACCAUAACAGAAAUAAUUGUCAUAAAUUUUUUGCAAGUUAUCUUCAAGGCGUCUACUUGGAUCGUACGUGGUCGUUACUCUGCUAUAGGGACCACAGGAAGCUUAUGGAUAUUGAGUGCUACCGCUGGAAAAUGGUUGCACGUGAUACUUGCAACCGGUUCGGUUCGCGAUCCAACAAUAGGAUAG